AUGGGGGCCGGCCCCUGGCUCCUGCCGGGUAUCCAGCGAGCACGGAGCAGGCAGGCACCCAGGCGAAAGGCGAGCGGUGCCCGAGGUUCGCGACCGAGAGGGCAGGCGAACGAGGGGCAACCCCGACCCGGCCCCCCGAGCUCCAGUGUCCGACCCCGCGCAGGGGCCACGCGACGGCCGCCCCCUUGCCCAGAACUGGCACGGACGGGCGGGCCGACCCGGGGCCACUCCACAACUUGCCGGCCCGCCGCCCCGGCCCCCCGCGAGAACCCAGGGAGACUCGAACCAGGCAGCAGAGGCAGGAUUUCCCCGGAAACGCGCCCUCCCCGCCGCCCCGUGCGCGCCCGCGGCCGGCCGCGCUGCCCCCGCCGCCCCGACGCCCCCACGGCCCUGCCCGCCAAGCCAGCGCCGACGCGGGCCGCGCUCCGGGGCCGUUUCCGGCGGCGCCGGCGGCAGCUACUCUGGGCGCCCUGGCCGCGGCCGUCACUCACCCCAGGCCGCCGCGGCUCCCAGCCUCCGGCUCCGUCAGGCUCGGUCCGCGAAGGCGCCUGCCGCCCCGUCCUGGCCCGGCACCCCGGCGAGCUCUUCCCUCCGACCAGCGGCGCUCCCGGCGCAGCGGCGGACGCGAGGCCACGGGCGGACGGGCGCGCGCGGGUGGCGGGCGGGCGUGGGGCCGGAUCGUCCCUGCGCCUCGCCGCCGCCUCCUCCGCCGCCGCCUCCCGAGUUCGGGGCUCUGCUGCAAUGUCUGCGAGGCUGACUUUGAGCGCCUCGCUCGCCGCCCGCCCGCCCGCAGCCGCGCUCCUCCCUCCGCCGCCGAGUCCGCCGCGGCCCAGUCCCUCCCCUCGCCGCCCCACGCCAUUCAGCUCUUCAGCCAAGUUUCUUAACCCUUUUCUCCCCCUCCCUCCCAUUGUCAGCCGGUCAGGAGGAAGCCGUGCGGGUCCGGGCCGCUCGCGGGAGCUGCGGAGCCCCCUAUGGUUCGUGGAUUUCCUCCUCGCCUGCUCUCCGGGUGGCUCAGACGGGGCUGCAGGGCCCGGAGGCAGCGAAAGGACCGCGUCCCCAAGAGAGGGGCUGCUCGGCGCGCCCGGGCCGUCCUCCGGGCUCCCAGCUCUGUCCAGCCGCCCGCGACCGCUGCAGGCGCCUGGACAGCUCCUCCUGGGAACCCGGGGAAGCGCUCUCGGGACCCAGGCCGAAUGCUCCCGUUUGGGCAGAGCCUGGGGACCGGGGCACCCCAGACGCCCCAGGGUCCCCGCCUGGGUGCUGGCGCCUUAAAAGUCUACCUCCUCCCCUUCACCCCACAACACGCGCUCCCUGGGCCCCCUUUCACCCCCCCACCCAAUUUCUAUCUCCUUGUAAUCUGUGUGUCCUGCUUUAAUCUUGGGGGGCGCGGGCGCGAACUCUGGGUCACUUUGACCCCACGCCCAGCACGUAGUAGGCACCCAGCCCUCAUGUGGAGCGACUCCGGGAGGAAAACUAGGAAGGAGACCUGAGGAGCGCCCCGCUCAGCUCCCUGGACAGACGUAGGACCCAGGAGCAGGGUUAAUCCUCGGCUGCUUUGUCACUGCGAAGUCUCCAGCGGAGUCUGUCAGCCAAUCUACAUCAUCCCCGGGAAGGAUCUGACCCAACCAGACAAGGCAAAAGGAGCAGGGCUGCUACUUCUUCAGCAGCUCUCCUCGGUUCAGUCUCCGAAUAAGAAAUAACAAUUACAUCACGAGGCCGGGGCGGCAGCGCGGUGGAGCCUCUUGGUUUCCUGCAGCCUAAUCUCGCUGAACCCGCCUCUAAAUUGGGGGGGCUACAGACUGGUGAAACGAGAAAGUGGAGGGAGGAGAGAGUCAUACGAAACCAUAAUUUCCCCUUAUCCGUGUAUUUGCUGUUUUAAAAAUCGUAUCCUCAGCGCUCCCCAAACAUCUCCCUAGAACUAUUAACACCCCCUCAACACCUCCCCAGAUGUCAGGUUUCUUUUUGACUUGAGCAUCCAGCAUUUAGUAAUUCGCCAUGAAAAAAAUUACCAGGGGAAACCAAUGUUGUUGCUGAAAUUGUUUUUGCUUGACACAAAAAAAGCUAAAGUAUAGCUUAGUCUCACCCGAAAUUCUGAAAUGGCAUGCCUGUGUUAAAACACUUAUUACAUAAGGCAAAUGAGCCGAUGAGGCACUCCAUUCUUACAUGUAGGUUUUUAUAUCCUGAAGAAUUUGAUAGCAUUUGAAAAUGGAGUUGCUAAUGCGCUUAAAAAACAACAACUAUCCAAGUCAUGAAACUGUAUUCUAUGCCUGUUAUGUAAUGGCUGUAUUGUGUACUGCAAAUUUCACUUAACCUUUAAAAAUAUGAAUGAGAGUUUUAGAAUACUGUCACAGUCUUGAAAGUGAAAGCAAUUUUUCACAUUAAUGCUUAAUAAAUUCAGCACCUAGCACAGUGCCGGGCACAUGGUACCGAUGUUUUCCUUAGUGACAAUGGCACUUUUAAAAACAAUUAUUUUACAUCACCCUACUGAUUGAACUAUGCAAUCUGUUGCCAUUUUAAAAAGUUAAACCUCAUAUAAUACCAUAUUAUUUGCAUAUACCACAAUUCAAAAUCUGCUGUAGGCAAAUUAGUAAAGGCUGCUGUUUUUUAGUGCAUCAUUUAUUCAGAAUUGAUACAAAGCAAACCGUUUCAAUUCAAUGAUGACCAGCGUAAUUGGAGCUUGGCCCCUUAGUGGGGGUCAAACUUUUUUUACGAAAAUUAUUUUUAACCAUAAUACAAAGAUUUUUCUACAAUGUAUUGCAAAUGUUUCUCUUAAGCGGUUUAUUGAACAUCAUUUAGCAUUUUCUUGACAAUUCAGUGUCAAUUUUAUUAAAAGUAAUUGUUGUAGUAGGUUGUAGUGGAUUCAGGAAAUAUAUCCAGUUCCUAUUCUAUAUUCUUCCUAGGUGUUAGGGAUUCUCCCAGGAGGUACAAAAGCUAUCAGUCGCUACACCGAAGGACUGUAGGAUGCUAUGACUUAAUGAUUAUCUCUGCCUUUUGUAAUUUCUCUCUCUCCCCCUUCACUAACUGACAAUCUGUUUUGCUUACUGUUACUAGCACAGCUGUCACUAACAUUCUCCUCAUCUUCUGAUUGGUAACUUCAAGUCUAGUGUGGACUGGGAAUCCAGAUAGCCUCACUUGUCACAAUUCUGUCUAAAGUAAACUUAAUAGGUUCUGGGUAAGGGACUAAUGGCUCACCAAGGAGUAGGGCGCACACACACCUUAGUGCAUAGACUAUGGAAAGAUAUUUGGACUACUCAAAUCUAUCUUUUAAAUGCAUUCCUCUUCUUAACCAGGUUUUGAACCACGGAGAUUGCCCAACAAGCCAAGAAUUUUCCAGCCCUCCAACAUUGGUGUUAAAAAGUCCACUGCUAUAUGCUAGAUGACUUCCCAAAGCUGUUCACUUAUUAUUAUUCUGUUUUCUCAACCCCACAAAAAUCCAGUCACUGAAAUCCUGAACUCUUUUGAUAGUGGCAUGAGUGUUAAGUAAAUUGCACACCUCUUGUGGAAUUCAUUUUCACUUAAUCUUGCUAAUUAUGUGGAGACUAUUUUGUUUGUUGUUGUUCUUUGUUUUUUAAAAUAAAUCAAUACCUAAAUUUCCUGGCUAACAGAGUCAUUGCAAGGAUACUAGGGCAUUAUAUGUAAUAUAAGAAUGCCUGUUUGGUAAUUUGUACUUCGAAGUCAAUUCUCAUUUGAAUCAUUUGUGAUGUGAAAACAAUGCUGUUCGGUUUAUAUACUUAAACACCUAAUUAUUGUUUUACGUCCAGGGUUCCUGUGGGACCACAUGCUUAUAGUUCAGUCUCAGUAUACCUAUCUGCCACAAAGAUGUAGUCUGGGAGGGGUGUGCCUUUGGUGUAUUCUCUAAAUCUCUCCUGUAUAGCAUUUUUCAAAACCAUUUUGUGAGUGGGUAUUUGCUUGUCUGUAUCCCACUGUAGAAUGCAAGCAGUACAGGCACAGGGUCCAUAUCCCUCUCAUUCACAUUUGGGGACUUCUAGCUACCUAUCCCUGUGCCCAGCAAGCAAUAGACAUUCAGUAGAUAUUGGCCAACAUACUGUCAUACUCCAGAGGACAGAAUGUAUCUUUCUCUUGGGGUCUUGGCUGUGAGGUAAGGAUUUCAGAGAACAUUUUGCAGAGAAAAUAAUGCUUCCACUGGCCAUUAAAAGGUUAAAAGGAUUAGCCAUGUAGGCAGAGUGGGAAAAGGGGUUCUCAGGAGAGGACGUAGACUGUUUAACAGUAGAGAGAUAUGAGAAAACAAAAAUAUGCAUUGAGAAGUAUUGAGCCUGCAUUUAUACUGUGGAGUGAACUAUGACACUUGAGGGGGGAAAUAUGUGUAACGUCCUAGAUCACAGACAAAUAGAACCCCAAUGCAGUUACCUUAUUAGCCACAGUCCCUUAGCCUCUGGAGCAGCACUGACCAAUAAAAACAAAGUGAACCACAAAUGUGAGCCACAUAUGGAAUAUUAAGUUUUCUGGUAGAUACAUUCAAAAAGUACAGAGGAACAGGUAAAAUUAGUUAUAAUAAUCCACUUUAACCCAAUACAUCAAAAAUUACCAUUUCAAUGUCUAUACAACAUACAAAAUCAUUAAUUAGAUAUUUUACAAUAUUUUAUAGUCUUCAAAAUCCAGUGUGUCUUUUACAUUUAUAGCACAUCUCCAUUUGGAUUAGUCAUAUUCCAGGCUCAACAGCCACAUGUGGCUAACAACUACCAUAUCGGGUAGUGCAGCUCCAGAGAAUGUAGGAAAUAUUUAAUAAUAUCGUUUAAGAAAAUUUUCCUUAAGAGGAAAAUCUAAAUCGUGUUCACUCUAAGAGUUUAUUUAUGCCGAUUAUUAGUGUUGAAUUAUGUUAGGUUAUAAAGACCACCUUCUUGUGUUUAGACAUUUACACCCAUUAGAUAAUCAGCAAAGUUUGCGUUUUAUGUACUGUGUCUUCAUUAAUGAUGCUGUAGUUACAACUGUUUCUAUCUCUAUUAACUGUGGUGGUGGACUGUAAAUGUAAACUGUUUUUAUGGCACAAAUAAAAUGCUAUAGAUUUGGGGUUGACUAAGCUUUAAAAAAAUUCUCUCUACAAUAUGAAGCCACCUCUUCUAUGCAGUUACCGCCAAGCGUCUUCCUAGCUGUAGAAGUCCAGGGUUUUGCUGUCUAAUUAUUUUAUGCCCAGUUACUUGUGGAUGACAAAAACCACCCCGACCUUUGUUUGAGGCAGUCGCCUACCUGAAGCUGCAGUAAGGGUUUGCUGCAGCUCCCUGAGUACCAAGAAAGGUCCAAAGAGCUAACGUGAAGACGCUUAGAUACCCUGUCUGCAGGUGACUGUGCAGCUUUCCCCAGUGAGAUUGGAGCCCUUUUGGUUUCAUUGGAAUUCGAGUGCCAAAGAUUGGCAAAUCCACAGCGCUCAUUGUCUACACUAAAAUGAAUCUUGAAAACGGUAUCUUUUUUAAAAAACAGUCUGAGAAUGGUUGUGUACAAGUAGCCAAACGUGUGAAAGAGAAAGGCAGAUACUUUAAUGAAAUGCAUAUGUGGUUGAUGCCGUCUCAUUCCUUCUCAAAACAAGAAAAUGUCUAGUAUAGUUAAGGGGUUAGAAAAGCCAAGAAGUCUCAACGAAGCAAGGAAAACCUGUGAGUUUUAAUGAUGUGUCAUUUGGAUAUGUCUAAGUGAUUGAGAGUAAAUAUUACAUGAAACCUAUCCUUUUAUGUGGAAAUGGCGUAGCAGCUCUCCUUAGGCAGUCCUGUCGUAAAUGCAUGUGAAAGUUUCCUUUAAGGGAUUUCACAAACAUAGGACCAUAUUAUGAAUCAAUUCAGUAAAAACAUGAUCCUAUUAUUUUUAGAGAUAUAUUUAGACAGACUUCAACUAAAGAAAAGUGCAAUACACAUAUAUUUUUCCAAAUUAUUCAGGGUUCUGAAGGGAAG
rnacentral:lncRNA from 1 species